UACGUAGGGUGCGAGCGUUGUCCGGAAUUACUGGGCGUAAAGAGCUUGUAGGUGGUUUGUCGCGUUGUUCGUGAAAUCUCACGGCUUAACUGUGAGCGUGCGGGCGAUACGGGCAGACUAGAGUACUGCAGGGGGAGACUGGAAUUCCUGGUGUAGCGGUGGAAUGCGCAGAUAUCAGGAGGAACACCGGUGGCGAAGGCGGGUCUCUGGGCAGUAACUGACGCUGAGAAGCGAAAGCGUGGGGGAGCGAAACAGG
rnacentral:rRNA from 1 species